rnacentral:piRNA from 1 species
UUUGCAGCAUUCCUGAGGGCUCAGGACC